GCAGGCAGGCAAAGGCAGGCGUCCCUUCGCGCUCUCCCCGCCAGACGAGUUCCGACUCUACGCUCGGCCGGACGUGACGUAACGCGCGCAGCGUGGAGAGCGUAGAGAACGUCGUCGCCGUCGUUCUAGUCCUCGUCGUCGUCGUCGUCGUCGUCGUCGUCGUCGUCGUCGUCGUCCACGUAGCCCGUCGUCAUUGUCGUGGUCGUCCUAGUCGUCGUUCUAGUCGUCGUUUACGUUGUCGUCCUCCACGUCGUCCUUCUCGUUCCUAUCUUGAUCCUCUCUCUCUCUCUCUCUCUCUUUCUCUCUCUCUCUCCUCCACACGCAAACAGAUAUAUAUAUAUACACACUCACGCACAUUUAUAUAUAUAUAUAUAUACAAUACACACACGCCACCUGUCUCUCUCUCUCUCUUUCUCUCUCCCUCUCUCCUCUCUCUCUCUCUCUCUCUCUUUCUCUCCCUCCGCGACGCAAACACCUGUGUCGUAUCGUGCACGGCGUGAUAUCGAGGCCCGUCGUGACGUUCCCUCGUCGGGGAUCAGUCGAGUGACAACGAUAACAGCAGGACAAUCUCCGCCGUCUCGUGUGGCACAGACGCGCCAGCACAACCGCGUGUGCCGUUCACGCACACCCGACACACUCUCCUCUCCUGCUUGUGAACGUAACAACAGUGUUCAAGCUUCGUUCGCGGUUAUCUCGAUCUUGGAAUCCCAUCAUUUUUGGCGGCGAUUAUAUUAGGACGGGGCGGAGAAGAGGGAAGUGUGAGAAGUGAAGGGGAAGAGAAGGGGGAGGAGGAGGAAAGGAAAAAGGGUGUGAAAGAGAGGAAGAAACUUGUUCGAGUGAGUGAGACGAGGAGAGGGAGGGGAAGUUGUUGGUGGCUCUUGAUGUGGUGAUUGAUUCGUGGAAUCAUCGUAGAAGAAUCGUAAAGGAGAAAGCUCGAGCCACGUGUGAUUUUUCUUUUUUCUUUUUUUUUUUGAUUUCCUCGUCAUCAGUUGGUGGAUUUGGAGAGAGAAAUUUUUGUAAAUCUUCGAGGCGGAGACAGACGGAUAGAUAAAGAAAGGAAGAUAAAGGAAAGAAGAGAGAGAGAGAUUUUGGUGUUUCGAAGUGUCGUUGGAGAUUGAACGGGGGUAUAAACGGAGACUCGGAGUGAAGGUAGGAGAGAAGCCGCGAGAAAGUUUUCGGGGGGGGAGGAAGAUCUGGAGGAAGAUCGCGAGGGAGGAGGCAGAUGCGAGGAGAGAUAUCGAGGCGAGGUAGCGUCGAGGCGAGGCGAGGAUGGUAAAGUAAUGUGGCGAGGGGGAGGAGUUAGCGCGAUCUUGGUGACGUCGCGAUAAAUAGACGCCGCGUAGACGGAUGGUAUGCGGUGACUUCUCCGAAUUAUCCCCGUCCACGGCGAUAAUAAACACGGCAAGCAAGACACGGUGUGUUGACGCCAGUUGCUUUCAAAAUAUUAUUACCGAUCGAGGUAAUAAUAACAUGCCACUCUCGACAAGGGCCAUAAACGAUUGAUCCGCGCUUAACCGCGAUCAUCGAUUACACCUAAACGUGCGCGCGCCCUGCAACGUUUUCGAUCGUCCGAAGACACGAUAUCGUCCCCUCGAUCGAGAGCCGGGGAAGGAGGAGGAGGAGGAGGAGGAGAAGAAGAAGAAGGAGAAGGAGGUGGAGGAGGAAGAGGAGAAAGAAGGGGAAGAAAGGAGGGUCGUAACGCCGUGGAAAAUUCGGCGUAGCGGUAAUCGUGGUUGAACGUGGAUCAUCACGUGACGGAACGGUAAGGAGGGAGAGCGCGUUCGCCGUUCGGCGAAACGAGAACGGCCCGAAGAUGCUGACCAUGUCGACCUUGAUGAUGCCCACCACCAUGACCACCAUGACGAAUCCCGGCCCUAUACCGGCGCACAGCAUGCCGCAGAAGAUAGAACCGCCUAAGCUGACCGCAGCAGCUACGCUCACCCACACGGCAACAGCCGGCAACAAAUCAGAACACUACCACAUAUUCGUAGGAGAUCUGAGCCCGGAGAUCGAAACGCAGACCUUGAGGGAAGCCUUCGCUCCUUUCGGCGAAAUCUCAGAUUGCAGAGUCGUGAGAGAUCCACAAACGCUCAAAUCCAAAGGAUAUGGAUUCGUUUCCUUUGUUAAAAAAGCGGAAGCGGAAAGUGCCAUCGGUGCCAUGAAUGGACAAUGGCUCGGUAGCAGGAGUAUUCGAACGAAUUGGGCGACUCGCAAACCCCCUGCGCCAAAAUCCGAGGCAAACGCGAAACCAUUGACUUUCGACGAAGUGUACAAUCAAAGUAGUCCGACCAACUGCACGGUGUACUGCGGCGGACUCACCAAUGGUCUAACGGAAGAGCUAAUGCAAAAAACCUUUUCGCCUUUCGGAUCCAUCCAAGAGAUUCGCGUGUUCAAGGACAAGGGUUACGCUUUUAUCAGGUUUUCUACCAAAGAAUCGGCGACACACGCUAUUGUGGCAGUUCACAACACCGACAUCAAUGGUCAAACGGUGAAGUGUAGCUGGGGGAAGGAGAGCGGGGAUCCGAACAAUGCUCAACAAACUGGACAGGCGUUAUCGUCGGCGACGUACCCAUACUACGCGGCGGCAGCAGCUGCCGCCGCGGCGGCGGCAGGCGUCGCGGGUGUCGGAGGCGUCGGUGGCGUCGGCGGUGCCGGCCAGCUAGGAUACUGGUACCCGCCCCAAUCUUAUCCGACGACAGCGACGCAGAUGCAAGCCGGUGGUUUCCUUCAAGGGAUGCAAGGAUACACUUAUGGCCAGUUCGCCGGGUAUCAACAGGCGCAAUACAUGGGAAUGGGAAUGGGUGUCCACGCUGCUGGCACGGCGGCAGGUUGGGGCCAGGGAUUACCCGGGGGACCACAGUUACCGCCACACCAUGCCACGACGGUCACGGCACCCCCAGGGGUGCAAGCCGCACCCCCACCACCACCACCUCCGGCACAAAUGAUGGCCUACCCGAUGCAACAGUUCCAGUAUGUAUUUGAAGAGAUAAGAGGGCCUAACGAUACAUAUUCGAGAUGAGGGAAUACUAAUGAAAAAGACUUAUAAACCCUAUCAAGAUCCUGCAUAAGAAUCUUUCAUCAGCAUGUGUUCUUGGUUGCGGUCCAGCUAGCGGAUGAGGACUGGCUGACGCCUAGCCUUCUAGUGUGAUGGUAAGCAAGUACACCCCACCAACAGGAACAACUUCUACAGCAACAACAGUUACCACUACCACCACCAC